UACGUAAGUGGCGAGCGUUAUCCGGAAUCACUGGGCGUAAAGCGUGCGUAGGCGGUGCGGUAAGUUGGAAUUGAAAUCCCAGGGCUCAACUCUGGACCCGGUUCCAAAACUGUCGCGCUUGAGCAGAUCAGAGGACAGCGGAAUUCCCGGUGUAGCGGUAAUAUGCGUAGAGAUCCGGAGGAACCCCAGAGGCGAAGGCGGCAUUCUGGCUCGCAACUGACGCUCAGACACGACAGCAUGGGGAGCGAACGGG
rnacentral:rRNA from 1 species